rnacentral:rRNA from 1 species
GGAUCCAGACUUUGAUUAUGGCUCAGAACGAACGCUGGCGGCAGGCCUAACACAUGCAAGUCGAGCGCUCACUUCGGUGGGAGCGGCGGACGGGUUAGUAACGCGUGGGAACGUGCCCAGAUCUAAGGAAUAGCCACUGGAAACGGUGAGUAAUACCUUAUACGCCCUUCGGGGGAAAGAUUUAUCGGAUUUGGAUCGGCCCGCGUUAGAUUAGAUAGUUGGUGGGGUAAUGGCCUACCAAGUCUACGAUCUAUAGCUGGUUUUAGAGGAUGAUCAGCAACACUGGGACUGAGACACGGCCCAGACUCCUACGGGAGGCAGCAGUGGGGAAUCUUGGACAAUGGGGGCAACCCUGAUCCAGCCAUGCCGCGUGAGUGAUGAAGGCCUUAGGGUCGUAAAGCUCUUUCGCCAGGGAUGAUAAUGACAGUACCUGGUAAAGAAACCCCGGCUAACUCCGUGCCAGCAGCCGCGGUAAU